GACGAACGCUGGCGGCGUGCUUAACACAUGCAAGUCGAACGAUGAAGCUAGAGCUUGCUCUGGUGGAUUAGUGGCGAACGGGUGAGUAACACGUGAGUAACCUGCCCCGAACUCUGGGAUAACUGCUGGAAACGGUAGCUAAUACCGGAUAUGACCAAUGAAGGCAUCUUCUGUUGGUGGAAAGAAUUUCGGUUCGGGAUGGACUCGCGGCCUAUCAGCUUGUUGGUGAGGUAACGGCGCACCAAGGCGACGACGGGUAGCCGGCCUGAGAGGGGGAUCGGCCACACUGGGACUGAGACACGGCCCAGACUCCUACGGGAGGCAGCAGUGGGGAAUAUUGCACAAUGGGCGCAAGCCUGAUUCAGCAACGCCGCGUGAGGGACGACGGCCUUCGGGUUGUAAACCUCUUUUAGUAGGGAAGAAGCGAAAGUGACGGUACCUGCAGAAAAAGCACCGGCUAACUACGUGCCAGCCGCCGCCGUAA
rnacentral:rRNA from 1 species